CGGCCAGCAGUAACACUCCGGAUAAUCGAGCUGAAAUUGUACGUUCAGCCAGGCGUUUACUGCAUUUACUGACAUCGCCUCAGGGACAUCCAAGCACAGCAAGUGAUGAAGCCACAGAUCAGGAUACAGGAGUAGAGCAACAUCGUGGUAGGAGUGAAAGUUCAGCUGCUCGGCCUGACAGACAAUCACUUCAAAUGGAAAUGGCCAGGUUAGAACUUAACACAUGUUCUAACACACAGAAUUCUGUGUUAUAGUAUAAACAACAUGUAUA